rnacentral:rRNA from 1 species
CGUGCUUACACAUGCAAGUCGAGUGCGCGUCUGUAGCAAUACAGAUGGCGCACGGCGCACGGGUGCGUAACACGUGGGUAAUCUGCCCUUCGAAGGGGAAUAACUCGCCGAAAGGCGAGCUAAUUCCGCAUAACAUUCCGAGAACCUUGGUUUUUGGAUUCAAAGGCGUAAGUCGUCGGAGGAGGAGCCCGCGCACGAUUAGCUAGUUGGUGAGGUAACGGCUCACCAAGGCUAUGAUCGUUAGCUGGUCUGAGAGGAUGGCCAGCCACACUGGAACUGAGACACGGUCCAGACUCCUACGGGAGGCAGCAGUGGGGAAUCUUGCACAAUGGGCGAAAGCCUGAUGCAGCGACGCCGCGUGGGGGAUGAAGCUUCUCGGAGUGUAAACCCCUUUCGACCCGGACGAAUGCCCCGCAAGGGGACUGACGGUACGGGUAUAAGAAGCCCCGGCUAACUACGUGCCAGCAGCCGCGGUAAGACGUAGGGGGCCAGCGUUGCUCGGAAUUACUGGGUGUAAAGGGUUCGUAGGCGGUGUGGCAAGUCGGGAGUGAAAUCUCUA